GAGUUUGCUCAUGGCUCAGAACGAACGCUGGCGGCACGCCUAACACAUGCAAGUCGAGCGGGAUCUUCGGAUCUAGCGGCGGACGGGUUAGUAACGCGUGGGAACGUACCCAGAUCUACGGAAUAGCCUCGGGAAACUGAGAGUAAUACCGUAUACGCCCUUCGGGGGAAAGAUUUAUCGGAUUUGGAUCGGCCCGCGUAAGAUUAGAUAGUUGGUGGGGUAAUGGCCUACCAAGUCUACGAUCUUUAGCUGGUUUGAGAGGAUGAUCAGCAACACUGGGACUGAGACACGGCCCAGACUCCUACGGGAGGCAGCAGUGGGGAAUCUUAGACAAUGGGCGCAAGCCUGAUCUAGCGAUGCCGCGUGAGUGAUGAAGGCCUUAGGGUCGUAAAGCUCUUUCGCCUGUGAAGAUAAUGAUGGUAGCAGGUAAAGAAACCCCGGCUAACUCCGUGCCAGCAGCCGCGGUAAUACGGAGGGGGUUAGCGUUGUUCGGAAUUACUGGGCGUAAAGCGCACGUAGGCGGACUAGUCAGUCAGAGGUGAAAUCCCAGGGCUCAACCCUGGAACUGCCUUUGAUACUGCUAGUCUUGAGUUCGAGAGAGGUAAGUGGAAUUCCGAGUGUAGAGGUGAAAUUCGUAGAUAUUCGGAGGAACACCAGUGGCGAAGGCGGCUUACUGGCUCGAUACUGACGCUGAGGUGCGAAAGUGUGGGGAGCAAACAGGAUUAGAUACCCUGGUAGUCCACACCGUAAACGAUGAAUGCCAGACGUCGGGUAGCAUGCUAUUCGGUGUCACACCUAACGGAUUAAGCAUUCCGCCUGGGGAG
rnacentral:rRNA from 1 species